rnacentral:rRNA from 1 species
UACACUCCUACGGGAGGCAGCAGUGGGGAAUUUUGGACAAUGGGCGAAAGCCUGAUCCAGCAAUGCCGCGUGUGUGAAGAAGGCCUUCGGGUUGUAAAGCACUUUUGUCCGGAAAGAAAUCCUUGGCUCUAAUACAGUCGGGGGAUGACGGUACCGGAAGAAUAAGCACCGGCUAACUACGUGCCAGCAGCCGCGGUAAUACGUAGGGUGCGAGCGUUAAUCGGAAUUACUGGGCGUAAAGCGUGCGCAGGCGGUUUGCUAAGACCGAUGUGAAAUCCCCGGGCUCAACCUGGGAACUGCAUUGGUGACUGGCAGGCUAGAGUAUGGCAGAGGGGGGUAGAAUUCCACGUGUAGCAGUGAAAUGCGUAGAGAUGUGGAGGAAUACCGAUGGCGAAGGCAGCCCCCUGGGCCAAUACUGACGCUCAUGCACGAAAGCGUGGGGAGCAAACAGGAUUAGAUACCCUAGUAGUCCC